GACAACUACGUACACUUGCAUGAGAAUGAUCUUACGCAAUACGAUGAUACAACAAUUAAUUAAUUCAAAAAUUAAUACGUCCAUCCUAUUGGAUUUAAGCAGUAUUCAUUUUUACGCAUUCGCUUUCUGUGACAAUGAAGUUGAUCGAAAACGAAAAACUAAUGCCUAGAAAUAAAGGGCUAUUAAUUAUGCAUAUAUACACUUCCUGUAUCUGUGUAUCACUUUUGCCGAAAAUAAAAAUGUCGAAAAAUAUAUUCCCUCCCAUUUGUUUCGGCUAACAGACUUAAGAAGCUUAUCGCAAAUCACAGGAAACAAGUUGAAAUAGCAAGUUAAAUCUGAACGGAGUCACGAACACGUAUUGGAUUGCAACGUGUCGUUCAUUGAUCAUCGGUAUCGGUGAUUGAAGUGCCAAGCGCGCUUGGAAGUCUCCGAAGACUCCUGGCAUGAUGAGAACCCGAUGGACGUGGCCCACGUCGUUCUUCUUUUAGGAAGGAAUAAAGGAACCCGAAGGAAUUCUGUUUAAAAAAGGAAUCUUGAAGGCAAAAGGAUCUUUUUCGGAUAUCGUUGGUACGAUCGUGCGAAGGAUUUAGAUCUCUUUAUCUACGUGAUUGAGCACAUUAGUUGAUUUGGCUUAAGACACUGGACCAUAUUUGAAACAAUAUAGAAAUCUAGGAACUUUAAGAUUCGUGAUGUUGGCCAUCCUGUGACGAUAAAUUGGUUAUGUUGGACUUGGCGAACUAGAGAACCGAGAGGCAAUAGACAAAGGAGGAGAAAUGCCUGGAUUGUUAUUGAGACGGCUAAAUAAAGUAUUUAUGAAAUUGUAAUUAUUUAUUGAUGCGUCCAGUUAGGUUUUAUUCAUUGUGUAUAUCUAAACAUCGAUUACGCUCAACCGCGAAAGGAUUCCGCCGUCGUGCUUUUGUUCGUUAUAGUUAACAGUGUCGUGAACUUGGAAAUAUGUAAGAUAAAUUUCGCUGAUAGUCGAGCAGAAUUGACAUCUUUUCUUUGAGUUUCUACGCUCAUUCCUGGACAUUAAGCGGCGUCCUUUUACUCUAACCUUAUCCUUCAGUUUCCCUGAAUUUAAUGUGGAUUCUUUCAACAACCAUUGUCGACGUGUGGUUAGUAACCGACGUUAUCUGAAUUGGAAGGAUAGAUGCCUGAUCUUCAACGUGCAACCCAAAAUAACAUAGACGUAAUCCUUUCUAAAUGUACACAUUAAUGAGUUAAAUCCUGCAUUGGCGUUCAUUGGCUACGUGUAAAGCUUGCUGUUAUACCUGCUAUAGCAAUAGGACAUCGGUAUGCAUUUGUUUCACGAUUAAAGCAUGAAGAAUAUGUGCGUUGAUGUCAACAAGAAGGACCAUUGGAAGAACGAUACGAGUUACCACGUCAGUCUUCUUUCGAAUUCCGAGGAGUAAACCUCGAAAUAGAAUUCUCCGUAUCAUUAAAUUCAAUCAUCUUACAGAAACGACCGUUUUAUAAUUAUUUAAACAAUGUACAAUCCAUUUGGGGUACGAUAAGGUAAUAAUUAAACAAUAUUACGUUUCGUAAAGCUUCGCAUAGUUUUUCAAACGCGUUAGACAAAAUAAUUUACUUUCAAACUUUGUCAAUCGAUGGCAUCAACAAGAAGGACCAUUGGAAGCAUAAUACGAGUUACUACGUCAGUCUUCUUUCGUACUCCGAGGAAUAAAUGUUGAAAUGUACUCUCCCCAUACGGCUACAUUAAAUCAUCUUACAGAUACGUUCAAUAUCUAAUUACAAUAUAUGCGACAUGCGAUAAUGCAAUAUUUAAGGAAUACUACAUUAAGUUAAAAACCGUUUAGUUCUUAAGACCCGUUCAUAAUGGAUCCGAUAUAGAAUAAAGUAAUAUUUAAAUAAUAGUACGUUAGUAUAAAUAUUAAAAAGAUGGAAAAGAGCGAAAAAUUUUAAACAAUUGUAAUACAAAAUUACUCUACAUUAAUAAAUAAUAAUUUUAAGCCUCGUGGUAGUUGGCCUUGCGUAAUGUAAAUAUUAACUCACUUUUUCUUAACUUUAAUGAUCACCGAAUAUGUUUUCUUUCAUGCUCGAACGUCGAAGCUUUCACCUUAUAAACGCAAAAAUUUAUAAAUAAAUAUUUUCUAUAAUUGUUCAAUUAUUUGAACAAUCUACAAUGUACGCGAAAUAUAAUAAAUUAAUAUAUAAACAAUA